CUAAGGUAGCAUAGUCAUUUGUUAUUUAAUUGGUAACUGGAAUGAAGGGUUAAACUGACUUAUUAAGUUUGUAAAGCUAUAGAAUAAUUUAAAGUUAAGGUAAGAAUUCUUUAAUUUUCUAGGGGACGAUAAGACCCUAGAAGCUUAACAAGUUUAGUAGUUUGUUUUAGAAGUUUGUUUGUUUUACUGGGGCGGUAAAAGUAAGUGAGCUAUUUAUUAGUUAAAGGAUCCUUUAAAUAAAGAAAGAAUGGAGAAGUUACUCUAGGGGUAA
rnacentral:rRNA from 1 species